rnacentral:rRNA from 13 species
ACGGGUGCGUAACGCGUGGGAAUCUGCCCUUGGGUUCGGAAUAACAGUGAGAAAUUACUGCUAAUACCGGAUGAUGUCGAAAGACCAAAGAUUUAUCGCCCGAGGAUGAGCCCGCGUAGGAUUAGCUAGUUGGUGAGGUAAGAGCUCACCAAGGCGACGAUCCUUAGCUGGUCUGAGAGGAUGAUCAGCCACACUGGGACUGAGACACGGCCCAGACUCCUACGGGAGGCAGCAGUGGGGAAUAUUGGACAAUGGGCGAAAGCCUGAUCCAGCAAUGCCGCGUGAGUGAUGAAGGCCUUAGGGUUGUAAAGCUCUUUUACCCGGGAUGAUAAUGACAGUACCGGGAGAAUAAGCCCCGGCUAACUCCGUGCCAGCAGCCGCGGUAAUACGGAGGGGGCUAGCGUUAUUCGGAAUUACUGGGCGUAAAGCGCACGUAGGCGGCUUUGUAAGUCAGAGGUGAAAGCCUGGAGCUCAACUCCAGAACUGCCUUUGAGACUGCAUCGCUUGAAUCCAGGAGAGGUGAGUGGAAUUCCGAGUGUAGAGGUGAAAUUCGUAGA